AUAUCUGAGACACGAUAUCAGGCCCUACGGGGCGCAGCAGGCGCGAAAGCUUCACACUGCGCGAAAGCACGAUGAGGGAAUCCCAAGUGCUUGCUCGCAAGAGUAAGCUGUUUCUUUGUUUAAAUGCAUUGAGAGUAAGGGCUGGGUAAGACGGGUGCCAGCCGCCGCGGUAAUACCUGCAGCUCGAGUGGUGGCCGCUAUUAUUGGGCCUAAAACGUCCGUAGCCGGUUUAAUAAAUGCCUGGGUAAAUCGUGUAGCUUAACUAUACG
rnacentral:rRNA from 1 species